rnacentral:tRNA from 1 species
AAAGUCUUAAGUUAAAUAAACUAUAGUCCUUCAAAGUCUAAAAUAAGGGGGAACCAUUAGAUUUUA